UUAAAAAUAAGCUAACUUAAGCUUUUGGGCUCAUACCCCAACUAUAAAGGUUUAUCCUUUUUUUUAAA
rnacentral:tRNA from 1 species